AUUCAUAAAAAAUGAAGGAGGACAACUUUAAGUUUUAAAGACAUUUUCCAGGGCAAAGCCGCACACUGAAUCAUUUCUUUUCACCAUAUUCCAUGGAAACAAAAAUCUGCAUUUUCGAAAGCCUAUAAUCAGCUGCUUAGAGCAUAUACAUCUUUCUCCCCACCACACAUUGAAAAGAUAAAUCUACACUCGAAUUGUAGUCCUGUUUUAACUCGUCAUCUAAUAAGACUGUCAGUUUGAGCCUAGCUCUGAAUAUCUGUUGCUAGAUGAAUAAAUUCCCAGCUGAAAAUCUAGAGCUAAAACAUAGCUACCCUGAAAACGUCUCGUUAAUAAGCAAAUGACUGUGUAAGACAUGCACUGGUUUUUACCAUUGUAUUUUAGCUCUCUUCUGCGUUGAACACAAGCAUAAACAUACCCAAAUCCACUUGCAAGUACUCUAUAGGGAACUCUUAAAAAAUGAGACAAAAGAAAGUAGAAAGUUCACUUUGGGCCUGACAUUUGCUGCACGGGUUGGACGCCGCACGGGAACAGCCUCUCCAGCAACAAUGCUGCUUCCAGAUCUUUUGUCCAAAACUCCUGCUGCAGACAGCACCCGGGAUUCUUCCCCUUUUAGGGGGAACAUUUGCCCAGGCGAAGGCCCGCGCCCACUCCAGAAACGGGCGACUCCAGCAGGCUGCAGCAAAGGACGCGGAAUGGGUCUGACCGUGCCUAAAGAGGGUGACUGAUAAGCAGAAGAGGAGAGCAGUGCUGCACAGAAACAUAGCCUACUACAAUUUAAGGUUUACAGGAUAUACCACUGCUAACGCACAGCUGCAGUGGAUCUCAAACAAAACGGACCCUACUCCCACUCUAAACAGCCGCUCCGAGACAGCACCUCUGCAGACCAAACGGAAGGGACCCGCCGGCCAGGGCAGCGCUGCUCUGUGCGCGCAGCACGCUGCUGCCGUGUCAGGGUAGCUGCGGCACCAACAUCAGCACCUCGCAUCAGCAGUGUUAUCCCUCAGUGAUGUCCUCUACAACUCGCUGCCUGUUCUCACAUUCCCCGCUGGUUCUCUGUAAGCAUUUCAUUGGUAAUAAAUAAAUAUACAUAUAAAUAAAA